GCAUCGGUAGUUCAGUUCAUGGUAAAAUGCUCGCCUGCCACGCGGGCGGCCCGGGUUCGAUUCCCGGCCGAUGCA
rnacentral:tRNA from 1 species